AGAAUCCACCAAGAAAUGAGUAGUGAGAAGGCUGCUGACCCACUUACAGGGAAAGACAGUGUACAGCUCUGAGAAGAAAGCACUCACAGAGAGCUGGAGGGACUUGAUCCUCGAGUGCUGGGAAUGGGAGAGACUGACUCAUUCUACAGGAGAGCAAGUCAGGAGUACACAGUCUGAGGAACUCAGGGGACAAUGAUGAGCAGUCAGAACACAAGGGUGACUGACACAAGGGACACUCGAGCCAUAAAAAGCUUUAGUUUAAGCCUAGGCACCACAGGAAGGAGAUGCUGUGGAAAAACUACUGUACCUGUGGAAUAUGCUGGCAUGAGGCGGGGUGUGUGGAGGGAAGAGGUGGUCAUGGUGCACUAAACCAAGUUUCGUAGAUUGUAAUUAUGAUCAAAGGUGUGGGAGAACUCAUUUCAACCCAGAAUGAGCAGACCUGCAUCACUCACCUUCCACGAUCUCAUGAAUCUUUUGGCCCUGCUGCAGCCCCAGCCCCCUCAAGACCUCUGUCUAUGAACAUGUUUAUUCAUCUGUGUUUAACCACAUUCCAGAGAAUGAUACAGUGGAGUCAGAUUUUAGAGCAAAGAGAAGAAAAUCCAUGUGCUGGUUAGAGGGGCUGACAGAGGCGCAUUCGUGAGGCAGGAAUGCACUGCUAUGGAAGAUGUCUGUGUCUCUACAUAGUCAAGAUGAACUCACUCAUUUAUCAAAUAUGUACGAGUCCACUGGGUAUAAGUCUGCAGACCCUGGAGAAGCCUUGGUAAAUAAAAUAAACACC
rnacentral:lncRNA from 1 species